CUGCCACCCACAGCAGGAAGGACCGUCCACAACCAGCUCCUCUUCCUCUUCCCCCUUUUUGCUAAUUCACAGGCAGAAAAGCAGAACAAAUCUUGUUUCUGUCAUUCUUCACCUUCUCAAACCAUGAGGACCAACAGCAGCACGGGAGCUUUCAGGAAGAGAAGAAAGUCACCGAGCACAGCGUCAGCACAACGCUCCUUGCUCUGCUGCAAUGAGAAAUCCUGCAUUUCCAAUUUGGGCAGCACAGGAGACAGGAAAGAACCAAUUCCUACCUGCAGGAACUUGGUGCCAAAUUCAGAAAAGCCUUUAAGAUAAAGCAAGCAGCACACAGCAAAGCCUUGUUAUCUCAACAGCCUCAUUAAUCAAAUAUAAUAUGUCUGCUUUGCACCACAUGGCCAAGACUCAUCUGUCUGGUGAAUAUUUGAUAUCCAGUCACAGGAAAACCCUUGAAGAGUGAGCCAGCACUGGGUUAGAAGCCUUGAAACCAGAAGAAAUGCACUGAUGCAAAAAGCCUCUUCUCAGAAAUCAAGCUACAACUACCAAAAGUAUCAGAAUUUCAUAUUAAAAAAUGUAUCUUGCUUUCACAAACAUGGAAAGUUUCAGACAUUUGACCUCUGUUCCUUCCCAAGUAACCUCACUGACUAAAAAAGAAGAGGUUGGUGUUCCUGCUGCAGGUUCAGUACCUGCAGAGGUGAAGGAAAGGCUCCUGGAGCUGUGAAUGUCCCAGAACACCCUGGCCUGAGCACGGGGACAGUCUGAUCCCAGCUCCGAACCCAGGAACUCCAAAGGGAUGAAUCCACACAGAGAGGAGUGCACAGCAAACUGAGAAGGAAAUCCAGGCUGUGGAAAGGAUAUGCUUGUCACUGCCUGAGCCUCUCUCCCUCCUCGGCAGGCUGGUGAGGUGUGCCAGGCAGCAGCAGCUCUCAUCCUCACCCACUCCAGGCUGCCACGGACCUGAACCCCUCUGGGGAUCACCCCACCUUCUCCAGCUCUGCCUGCUUCAAACCUUGAGGAAUCCCAGGGCACCCCACCCAGCAGCUGUGAUUUACCUGAGAGCCUGAGAGCUCCCUGCUGCCCCAGCAAUCCAUCCCUGUGACAACACCUCCUGGGAAGGCGGUGGCCAGAGGGAGAGAUGCUUCUGGACACCACAGAAUGAGCAAGGAAUUCCAAGGGAAAAACACUCAGCAUGGAUUUCUGCCAAAAGAACUGAAUUCUGUCGCUUUUACAUCUCUGAAGUUCCACCAGUGCUGGGGGGGUAAAAUGGAUUUGAAAAAUCCCCCCCAAAAUGGCACCACAGAGCAGCCCCCAGCGGAGAGGGGCUCUGCAGUGAGCACUUAACAACAGGAAUAUUAAAAGUAACCCCCCAAACUCUAUGUUGAUCAGGAGAAGGAACCAGCACAACCUUCCACUGAGCUGUGGGGACAGAAAAGCCCUCGAGGGACAUAAUCACAUCAUGAAAAAUCUGCUCUGUUGGGUCUGGCUGGCUGUGCCCGGGGGUCAGGGCAGCACAGCAGUGCAGGCAGUUUGCUGAACACACUCCCCAGUUUAUCUUGAUUAUGUUUGUGGUGUCACAAAUAUCAAGGGCUGCAAAAAUAUCAUUUCCCUUCUGCAGUCUGACUUUCCUGGCACCUCAAAAAACCAACAGUAAUGGACUGAGGGCAUAAACUGUACUUUGUUGCUGUACUUCCUGGCAGUCUGCUGCCAGCAGCGUCUCCAGAGACAAGAUUCCUUGUGACACCAAGGUCACAGACAUCAUCAGUCUCAUGCUUUCUCUCCACUUUCUUAUUUUCCUUUCUCUUCUCUGUCCUUCUCCACCAAAUGAGGAAUUAUCUUCCAUACCUGCAAACUGUAAAGAGUCAGGGGGAACAAAAAGAGGGUUUUCCCCUGGAGAGGAAGGAAGACAACUCAAACACUGACUCAAGCACUGUCUCUGAACACUUCCUUCACUUCUGGGACUCCCAGUGACAAGUGGGAUUAAAUCUUCUCGCCUGGGCUCUGCCUCCACAUACACAACAAUACAGAAAUGCAGUGCCCAGCCAGAAAACAGGACAGGGGAUCUCUUCCAGGGCAGACUUAACACUGUUAAUCCCAGAUCCACACUAUUUACCCACUUCUGCCACAUCCUGUGCAGCCACAGUUAACUGGCACCAUUAACCAGCCUGUCUGUGCAGUCACACCGCAAACACAUCAAAAUGACAUUUAAAUAAAUAAAUAUAGAAGCACAGGAAUCAUUCAGGUUGGAAAAGACUUCUGAGAUCAUCAAGUCAACCUUUGACUAAUCACCACCCUAUCAACCAGACCAGAGCAUUGAGUGCCACAUCCAGGAGCUUUCUGAACACCUUCAGGGAUGGGGACUCCACCAUCUUCCUGGGCAGCCCCUUCCAAAAUAUCUAAAAGCCUCCCAGGCUCUUUUUUGCCUUGGGACAGCUUCUUCCCCUUACAGUUACUUUUAUCUCUAACAAAACACUGACCUUGGAAAGGCCACCAGCUCUCCACAAUGUCCAGGAAUUGUUUCUCGGGGGGGUGGG